AGAGUUUGAUCCUGGCUCAGGACGAACGCUGGCGGCGUGCUUAACACAUGCAAGUCGAACGGAAAGGCCCUUCGGGGUACUCGAGUGGCGAACGGGUGAGUAACACGUGGGUGAUCUGCCCUGCACUUUGGGAUAAGCCUGGGAAACUGGGUCUAAUACCGAAUAUGACCAUGCGCCUCCUGGUGUGUGGUGGAAAGCUUUUGCGGUGUGGGAUGGGCCCGCGGCCUAUCAGCUUGUUGGUGGGGUAAUGGCCUACCAAGGCGACGACGGGUAGCCGGCCUGAGAGGGUGACCGGCCACACUGGGACUGAGAUACGGCCCAGACUCCUACGGGAGGCAGCAGUGGGGAAUAUUGCACAAUGGGCGCAAGCCUGAUGCAGCGACGCCGCGUGAGGGAUGACGGCCUUCGGGUUGUAAACCUCUUUCAGCACAGACGAAGCGCAAGUGACGGUAUGUGCAGAAGAAGGACCGGCCAACUACGUGCCAGCAGCCGCGGUAAUACGUAGGGUCCGAGCGUUGUCCGGAAUUACUGGGCGUAAAGAGCUCGUAGGUGGUUUGUCGCGUUGUUCGUGAAAACUCACAGCUUAACUGUGGGCGUGCGGGCGAUACGGGCAGACUUGAGUACUGCAGGGGAGACUGGAAUUCCUGGUGUAGCGGUGGAAUGCGCAGAUAUCAGGAGGAACACCGGUGGCGAAGGCGGGUCUCUGGGCAGUAACUGACGCUGAGGAGCGAAAGUGUGGGGAGCGAACAGGAUUAGAUACCCUGGUAGUCCAA
rnacentral:rRNA from 1 species